GAUGAACGCUGACAGAAUGCUUAACACAUGCCAGUCAACUGUGGCGGACGUGUGAGUCACGCGUAAAGAACUUGCCUCACAGCUAGGGACAACAUUUGGAAACGAAUGCUAAUACCUGAUACUGUGAGAGAGCUUUGCGUCCCAUUAGCUCGUUGGAGAGGUAACGGCUCACCAAGGCGAUGAUGGGUAGCCGGCCUGAGAGGGUGAUCGGCCACAAGGGGACUGAGACACGGCCCGUAAUCCUACGGGAGGCAGCAGUGGGGAAUAUUGGACAAUGGACCAAAGUAUGAUCCAGCAAUUCUGUGUGAACGAGGAAGUUUUCGGAAUGUAAAGUGCUAUCAGUUGGGAAGCGGUACCAACAGAAGAAGUGACGGCUAAAUACGUGCCAGCAGCCGCGGUAAUAC
rnacentral:rRNA from 1 species